ACUUCAGGACGGGGACAACAGUUGGAAACGACUGCUAAUACCCGAUGUGCCGGGAGGUGAAACCUAAUUGGCCUGAAGAAGAGCUUGCGUCUGAUUAGCUAGUUGGUGGGGUAAGAGCCUACCAAGGCGACGAUCAGUAGCUGGUCUGAGAGGAUGAGCAGCCACACUGGGACUGAGACACGGCCCAGACUCCUACGGGAGGCAGCAGUGGGGAAUUUUCCGCAAUGGGCGAAAGCCUGACGGAGCAACGCCGCGUGAGGGAGGAAGGUCUUUGGAUUGUAAACCUCUUUUCUCAAGGAAGAAGUUCUGACGGUACUUGAGGAAUCAGCCUCGGCUAACUCCGUGCCAGCAGCCGCGGUAAUACGGGGGAGGCAAGCGUUAUCCGGAAUUAUUGGGCGUAAAGCGUCCGCAGGUGGUCAGCCAAGUCUCCUGUCAAAUCAGGUUGCUUAACGACCUA
rnacentral:rRNA from 1 species